GGGUGUUUGGGUGAUCCAAAGGAAGGAGUCUUCAUCAGCCAUUCAGAGUCUUCUACGCGAGCUAGCACUUUCGAGAAGGAUGAUCUGUUCGGAGCUUCGAGUGGACUGCUUGUAGAGAUCAAACGAUCUAUGCGGCUACUCGAUAUCAGAAAAGAUCUUGUACCAUAUUCAUCAGCAAGGGUGAUCAUCGAUCCACGAUAAGAUAAUGAGUUCUGAACUCAUCUGAUUAGAUCUAACGGUUAGAUUUGAUUAAGGGCAUCGAU
rnacentral:lncRNA from 1 species